GGGCCCGCACAAGCGGUGGAGCAUGUGGUUUAAUUCGAUGAUACGCGAGGAACCUUACCAGGGCUUAAAUGCAGAACGACAGAGGUGGAAACACCUCCUUCUUCGGACGGUCUGCAAGGUGCUGCAUGGUUGUCGUCAGCUCGUGCUGUGAAGUGUCGGGUUAAGUCCCAUAACGAGCGCAACCCCUAUUUCUAGUUGCCAGCGGUUCGGCCGGGGACUCUAGAGAAACUGCCAGCGUAAGCUGUGAGGAAGGUGGGGAUGACGUCAAAUCAUCACGGCCCUUACGUCCUGGGCUACACACGUGCUACAAUGGUAGGGACAGAGAGUUGCCAACCCGCGAGGGUGAGCUAAUCUUCAAACCCUAUCUCAGUUCGGAUUGUACUCUGUAACUCGAGUGCAUGAAGCUGGAAUU
rnacentral:rRNA from 1 species